GGCACCAUCGCCAAGUGGUAAGGCAAAGGUCUGCAAAACCUUCAUUCACCAGUUCAAAUCUGGUUGGUGCCUCCA
rnacentral:tRNA from 1 species